rnacentral:misc_RNA from 1 species
AACGCACCUUGCACCCUUUGGCAUUCCGAAGGGUAUGCUCGUUUGAGUGUCAUUGUACUCUCACACUUUCAAUCCUUUGGGUUGGAAGCGGUGGACUUGGGUGUUGCUGCUUUACUGCGGCUCAUCUUAAAUGCAUUAGUGCAACUCUAGGUUGGGCAUAGUACGGCGUGAUAUGUAUCUUCGCCGGCACCUCGCAAGAGGGUGGCUGAUCAGGAGCUCUGUGCUUCAAACUGUCUUUGGACAAUAACUGACAACUUGACCUCAAAUCGAGUAGGACUACCCGCUGAACUUAA